UUAUAUUAUACGUGUUGAUUUCACAUUUAUUUUGGAUUUAAGUACACGAUUUUGAGAUGCAGGGUAUUGGUAUUAAGACACAAGACCAUGGCAUUUUACCUGCGAGCAAAGACAUUGGAAAGUAAGUAAUAUUAUAUUAUAUAUGUUUUUUUUAUUGACCGUCUCGUGUUUCAAUACAUUAAACUGGAAACGAUGGAUUAAGAACAAUUAAGAUAAAAUAAUAAUAUCAUAAUCUCGUCGAGCUCGUCGGUAUGAUGUAAAAAUUAAAUACUAGACGGCAAACACAAAACGUAUACAACAGCGCCAUCUAUUGA